AAUUCGAUUUAGUUUGAUCAUGGCUCAGGAUGAACGCUGGCGGUAUGCUUAACACAUACAAGUCGAACGGAACCUUCGGGUUUAGUGGCGGACGGGUGAGUAACGCGUGAGAAUCUGCCUUCAGGACGGGGACAACAGUUGGAAACGGCUGCUAAAACCCGAUGUGCCUACGGGUGAAAUAUUUAUAGCCUGAAGAGGAGCUCGCGUCUGAUUAGCUAGUUGGUAGGGUAACGGCUUACCAAGGCGACGAUCAGUAACUGGUCUGAGAGGAUGACCAGUCACACUGGGACUGAGACACGGCCCAGACUCCUACGGGAGGCAGCAGUGGGGAAUUUUCCGCAAUGGGCGCAAGCCUGACGGAGCAAUACCGCGUGAGGGAGGAAGGCUCUUGGGUCGUAAACCUCUUUUAUCAGGGAAGAACACAAUGACGGUACCUGAUGAAUCAGCAUCGGCUAACUCUGUGCCAGCAGCCGCGGUAAUACAGAGGAUGCAAGCGUUAUCCGGAAUUAUUGGGCGUAAAGCGUCCGCAGGUGGUUUUGGUAGUCUGCUGUCAAAGCGCGAGGCUCAACUUCGUAUCGGCGGUGGAAACUCCAAGACUAGAGUUUGGUAGGGGUCACGGGAAUUCCCAGUGUAGCGGUGAAAUGCGUAGAUAUUGGGAAGAACACCAGCGGCGAAAGCGCGUGACUGGGCCUGA
rnacentral:rRNA from 1 species